UGAGGAAUAUUGGUCAAUGGACGAAAGUCUGAACCAGCCAUGCCGCGUGCAGGAUGACAGCUCUAUGAGUUGUAAACUGCUUUUAUACGAGGGUAAAGUGAGGUACGUGUACCUUUUUGAAAGUAUCGUAUGAAUAAGGAUCGGCUAACUCCGUGCCAGCAGCCGCGGUAAUACGGAGGAUCCAAGCGUUAUCCGGAUUUAUUGGGUUUAAAGGGUGCGUAGGCGGUUUUUUAAGUUAAUUGUUAAAUCUUCGGGCUUAACCCGGACAUGGCGAUUAAUACUGGAGAACUAGAGAUUAGUUGCAGAGGGCGGAAUGUGUAGUGUAGCGGUGAAAUGCUUAGAUAUUACACAGAACACCGAUUGCGAAGGCAGCUCUCUAAGCUAAAUCUGACGCUCAGGCACGAAAGCGUGGGGAUCAAACA
rnacentral:rRNA from 1 species